AUGAAUGCCCCAUGCUGCGUUUCACCUUUUAGGAAAGUCAAAGAACAAGCAAAGCUCAGUCCAUUCUUAAGACAUUCUGUUCUGAAGAGGACAUUUAAUGUUACAUUGCCAAAUACUUCCUUGAUUACAAGAGAAAACACUUUUCCUAUAGAUCAAAAAGCCAAACAAAAAUACUCAGGAAGCAAAGUAAAAUCUUCUAAAUGAUAUAUUGUAAAGGUAUUAUCUAUUAAUAUAAAGAUAAGCUGACAGUUCUCUGACAAAGAAGUAAUUCCAUUUUGAUGAUGCCCUCCACCAGCUACUCAAAGGAAUAUAAUUGUUCUUCUAACCUUGAGAGAUAGAAAAAUCUGUUCUUGUAAGACAUUUAAUUCUCUAUUUUUUUCUCAAAAAUUUCCUAUUAAAAGAGCAGUAUAUAUAUUCAUUGCAUUCUUUCUAAACAUGUAUUACUAGUGCUUCCGUAUAAAAUACAAUGCUGAAUAAAGACAUCUGAAAACCUUUUCUUUUUCACUUUUGUAUUUCAUUCUCUAACCAGAUAAUACAAUUGCUUUCCAAAUACUAGGUUUGCUGAAAAUAGGUACAUGAUGUUAUUAUAUGUAUGUGUUAUCCACUUGACUUAUUUUCUUACUCUUCAUUUCUCUGAAAUUAUAAAAGUGGAGAAUAAAAAUC
rnacentral:lncRNA from 1 species